AUAGAGACUCAGAGCUGCAUAUCAAUAAGCGGAGGAAAAGAAACUAACAAGGAUUCCCUUAGUAACGGCGAGUGAAGCGGGAAGAGCUCAAAUUUGAAAUCUUCAAGGUUCUACCUUGACGAAUUGUAGUUUAUAGAAGUGUUUUCUGUUAGUGGAGUGGCAAAAGUUCUUUGGAAUAGGACAUCAUAGAGGGUGAGAAUCCCGUAUUUGGUCAUUCUUUCUAGCUUUGUGAUACACUUUCAACGAGUCGGAUUGUUUGGGAAUGCAGUCCAAAAUGGGUGGUAAAUUUCAUCUAAAGCUAAAUAUUGGCGAGAGACCGAUAGCGAACAAGUACCGUGAGGGAAAGAUGAAAAGAACUUUGAAAAGAGAGUUAAACAGUACGUGAAAUUGUCAAAAGGGAAGCGUUUGACACCAGUGUUGUUUUUCCGAAAAUCAAUUACGAAUGUUUUGUUUUUAAGAAGUUAUGACUUCAUCGGCUUGCUUCUCUCUUUACUGAAACUUUCUUAAUGCACUUUUCGGUUAACAAGUCAACAUCAAUUUCUUUUGUUGUAAAAGGGUAUGAGGAAGGUGGCUUUCUUUUCGGAGAAAGUGUUUAUAGCCUUGUACCUCUGCAAUCGGAGAGAUUGAGGUCUGCAGCGUAGAUCCUUCGGGGUUAGAUACAUUUGUGCUAAGUUAUAGCUUUUCAUAGACAACUUGUUGACUAUGUUUAGUCUUGUAGCUUACUCGCUUAUGCUAUUUUACCUACGCUUAGGAUGUUGAUAGUCACAGCGUGUAC
rnacentral:rRNA from 1 species